rnacentral:rRNA from 1 species
GACGAACGCUGGCGGCGUGCUUAACACAUGCAAGUCGAACGGACCUUCUGAUCUUUUGGUUGGUUGGUUAGUGGCGAACGGGUGAGUAACACGUGAGUAACCUGCCCUUCUCUUCGGGAUAACUGUCGGAAACGGUGGCUAAUACCGGAUAUUCAUAUGCUGUCGCAUGGUGGUGUGUGGAAAGAUUUUUUGGUGGGGGAUGGACUCGCGGCCUAUCAGCUUGUUGGUGAGGGAGUGGCUUACCAAGGCUUUGACGGGUAGCCGGCCUGAGAGGGCGACCGGCAACACUGGGACUGGGAUACGGCCCAGACUCCUACGGGAGGCAGCAGUGGGGAAUAUUGCACAAUGGGCGGAAGCCUGAUGCAGCGACGCCGUGUGCGGGAUGACGGCCUUCGGGUUGUAAACCGCUUUCAACUGUGACGAAUUUGACGGUAGCAGUAGAAGAAGCACCGGCUAACUACGUGCCAGCAGCCGCAGUAAAAC